GCCCCCCCCCCCUUCUUAGGUUUCUGCAAGAAGAACCCCCCCCCCCCCCACCAACUAACUGCCCAACUGAAACCUUUCGAUUUGAAAGGACCGCAGAUGCAGGCACUUCACUGAAAUAUAAAGAUCUCAAUUUAAGGUAUACAAGAAGGAAUGUCAUGCAGAUCACAUUUACCAUCCUCCUCCCUUACCUCUUCAAUGAAUAUCCCAUAGUCCUCUACAUUAUGGACAAGGAAACCUAUUCAAUCACCAUGCACUGCAAAAUCAUUCUGGCUAUGGAUACGGAGCACAUCAACAUGCCAGAGGAUAAACCCAUUGGACUUGGGGCUCUGCUGGGAGUUUACCUCAUAUUUAGAUUUUUUUUAUCCUGCUUUGCCACUAAAAAGCAUAAUAAACACAACUAAAAUUG